UACGUAGGGUGCAAGCGUUAAUCGGAAUUACUGGGCGUAAAGCGUGCGCAGGCGGUUCGCUAAGACAGAUGUGAAAUCCCCGGGCUUAACCUGGGAACUGCAUUUGUGACUGGCGGGCUAGAGUAUGGGCAGAGGGGGGUAGAAUUCCACGUGUAGCAGUGAAAUGCGUAGAGAUGUGGAGGAAUACCGAUGGCGAAGGCAGCCCCCUGGGUCAUAACACUGACGCUCAUGCACGAAAGCGUGGGGAGCAAACAGG
rnacentral:rRNA from 1 species